rnacentral:rRNA from 1 species
UGUCGUCAGCUCGUGUUGUGAAAUGUUGGGUUAAGUCCCGCAACGAGCGCAACCCUUAUCCUUUGUUGCCAGCGGUCCGGCCGGGAACUCAAAGGAGACUGCCAGUGAUAAACUGGAGGAAGGUGGGGAUGACGUCAAGUCAUCAUGGCCCUUACGACCAGGGCUACACACGUGCUACAAUGGCGCAUACAAAGAGAAGCGACCUCGCGAGAGCAAGCGGACCUCAUAAAGUGCGUCGUAGUCCGGAUUGGAGUCUGCAACUCGACUCCAUGAAGUCGGAAUCGCUAGUAAUCGU